CUACGGGCUGCUGCAGUGAGGAAUAUUGCACAAUGGGGGGAACCCUGAUGCAGCAACGCCGCGUGGAGGAUGACGCAUUUCGGUGUGUAAACUCCUUUUAUAUGUCAAGAAAAUGACGGUAGCAUAUGAAUAAGCACCGGCUAACUCCGUGCCAGCAGCCGCGGUAAUACGGAGGGUGCAAGCGUUACUCGGAAUCACUGGGCGUAAAGGACGCGUAGGCGGGCUUGUAAGUCAGGUGUGAAAUCCUACAGCUUAACUGUAGAACUGCACUUGAAACUACGAGUCUAGAGUAUGGGAGGGGAAGAUGGAAUUAGUGGUGUAGGGGUAAAAUCCGUAGAUAUCACUAGGAAUACCUAAAGCGAAGGCGAUCUUCUGGAACAUAACUGACGCUAAGGCGUGAAAGCGUGGGGAGCAAACAGGAUUAGAUACCCUAGUAGUC
rnacentral:rRNA from 1 species